AUAUUUUUUAUUUCAUUAAAUAAUUAUUUUACUAUGAACAUAGUUAUGUUUAAGGUCAACAUAGUUAUGUUUAAGGUCUGCCUCUUUUUGUCAUGCCACCAAUAAUAAGGACCACAAUGGAAAUAAGGGCUUGCUCUUUUUUGUGUUAUCCUUGGUUUGGUGAGCAUGUCAUAGUUUAUUGUACAUGAUAUAGUUUUUAAUAAUUGCUUAUUAUUUUAUUCUAUGUUAUGUUGUGAACUGUGUAUAUGCUUCCUAUGCCGAAAUAAAUCUAUCUAUCUAUCUAA